UUAGUAUCAAGAGUGUGGUGAGGGACUGGCCCUGUGACCCACCGGCAAACGGGUAUGUAGCACUACAUGCCACGGUGCUAAAUCCAGCCUGAACACAUCAGGACAGAUAUGAG
rnacentral:ncRNA from 2 species